UAGAUUUUGUGCCUGGCGAGCCAUUUCUGUGUUGAUUUGGGAAAUGUUUUUGGAUCGUCGUGCUGCUGAAAGAUCCAAUUGUGAGACAAAUUGCUAGCGGAGCCCGCCAGAUUUGUAUAUAAAAUGUCCUGGAAUUUCAAAAAAACUUCCUAAUGCUUUGUACUCUAGCAAAAGAGAUCAGGCCCACAGCAUCACAGAAAUCUCCACCAUGUUAAAGAAUGAGGAUGAGGCAGGGGCUUGUCCCAUCAUUCUUUUUUUUUCUAAUACAUGAUCCACCUGUGGUUUUCAUUGCAGAAAAGCUAAAUCUUAAUGUCAUCUGAGCAAAGUUUUAGUUCCCUUAGUUAAUGAUGACUUGCUCUCUAACAAGGUUUCCAAAGCCUUUGGAGAAGAAUUAGACCCACAGCACCAUACAUCCUCCACCGUAGUUAAAGGUGGCCAAGAUGUGCUUGUCUGUCCUACUGGAGUAUUUGUUGCCAGAAACUCACUUUUUAUUUCAUCCGACAAAAGCACAAGGUUUAGGUCAAACUCCAAGCUGUUUUUUUUUUUUUUUUUUACAAACUAAUACAUUUGUGAUAAUAGGAAAGAAAACUUUUCCCUGCAUGCCUCCCAAAAUGACAGCUGACAUGUAGACCUGAUGGUUUAUCUGGAGACUUGGUGAUGUUUAGGGUACCCCUCUUUGCUGAUGUUGAGCUUG